UCCCUGAUAGCUAAGCUGGUAAAGAAUCUGCCUGAAAUGUAGAAGACUCCAGUUUGAUUCCUGGGUCAGGAA
rnacentral:tRNA from 1 species